UACGAAGGGGGCUAGGCGUUGCUCGGAAUCACUGGGCGUAAAGGGGUGCGAGUAGGCGGGUCGUUUAAGUUCAAGGGGUGAAAUCCGUGGAAGCUCAACGUCCAGAACUGCCUUUGAUCACUGAAGAUCUUGAGUUCGGGAGAGGGUGAGUGGAACUGCGAGUGUAGAGGUGAAAGUUCGUAGAUAUUCGCAAGAACACCAGUGGCGAAGGCGGCUCACUGGCCCGAUACUGACGCUGAGGCACGAAAGCGUGGGGAGCAAACAGG
rnacentral:rRNA from 1 species